UGAAGAAUUUGUCCAACGGCGGGGGAUAGCCGGCCCAACGGCCGGGUAAUACCGCGUACGACCACAUGGGGACAUCCCUGAGUGGUGAAAGCAGCAAUGCGCCGAUGGAGUGCCUCGCGGCCUAUCAGCUAGUUGGUGAGGUAACGGCUCACCAAGGCAACGACGGGUAGCUGGUCUGAGAGGAUGGCCAGCCACAUUGGGACUGAGACACGGCCCAGACUCCGUAGGGAGG
rnacentral:rRNA from 1 species